rnacentral:rRNA from 1 species
UGGGGAAUCUUCCGCAAUGGACGAAAGUCUGACGGAGCAACGCCGCGUGAGUGAUGACGGCCUUCGGGUUGUAAAGCUCUGUGAUCGGGGACGAAUGGCUGGUAUGCUAAUACCAUAUCAGAGUGACGGUACCCGAAUAGCAAGCCACGGCUAACUACGUGCCAGCAGCCGCGGUAAUACGUAGGUGGCAAGCGUUGUCCGGAAUUAUUGGGCGUAAAGCGCGCGCAGGCGGCUUCUUAAGUCCAUCUUAAAAGUGCGGGGCUUAACCCCGUGAUGGGAUGGAAACUGGGAGGCUGGAGUAUCGGAGAGGAAAGUGGAAUUCCUAGUGUAGCGGUGAAAUGCGUAGAGAUUAGGAAGAACACCGGUGGCGAAGGCGACUUUCUGGACGACAACUGACGCUGAGGCGCGAAAGCGUGGGGAGCAAACAGGAUU